AUUGCACGCUUGCGGCAGGCCUAACACAUUCACGUCGAACGAGUGGCGGACGGGUGAGUAAUGUCUGGGAAUCUGCCCGAUGGAGGGGGAUAACUACUGGAAACGGUAUCUCAUACCGCAUACCAUCGGAUGUGCCCAGAUGGGAUUAGCUAGUAGGUGGGGUAACGGCUCACCUAGGCGACGAUCCCUAGCUGGUCUUAGAGGAUGACCAGCAACACUGGAAAUGAGACACGGUCCAGACUCCUACGGGAGGCAGCAGUGGGGAAUAUUGCACAAUGGGCGCAAGCCUGAUGAAGCCAUGCCGCGUGUAUGAAGAAGGCCUUCGGGUUGUAAAGUACUUUCAGCGAGGAGGCGUUACUCGCAGAAGAAGCACCGGCUAACUCCGUGCCAGCAGCCGCGGUAAUAC
rnacentral:rRNA from 1 species